UGCCAACUCUCACACUCCUGGCGUGACACUCACGCUUUCACUAUCAAUGUCACGCUGUCACGCACACGCACGAAAUGUCACGCCAAAAAAAAAAAAAAUCUCCUGUUCAUUUCUGUUGAUGAUUAGCAGCUGUAAUAUCUGCCUACAACGUGAUAACGGCAGUAUUCUCUGAUCGUUGAUUCGCUGAAAACCAUGCACCUGUAUUCUCUGAUCGUCGACUCGCUGAAAACUAUGCACCUGGUACGUCACAGUUGCGUGUGAAACGUUCAGAGAGUUCGGGCGGAACUGAAGACAAUUGAUGCGCGUUCGGAAGUUUGGAUGAGAAUCAGUCAAGAUGAGCUUGCUGAAAUAUUUCAAAAGAAAAAAGGAUGAUGGACAUGGAGAGGAGAAGAAUCAAUCAGAGCUUCAGCAGCCUACCUUUUAGAUAGAGGAAAGAGUGGAGAAAGAUGAUGAUGAUGAUGAUGAGGUGCUGGUGGAGGAGGAGAAUGAGGUGCUGGUGGAGGAGGAGAAAGAUACAAGCACAGAGCCCACAGUCAGGCAGAAGAAAAAGGCAAAAUCAGGGGCCGCUGCUUACAAUUCCAAAUUUAACAGCGCCUGGACUAAAGAGUGGCCUUUCACUAAACAACUGUGUUUCACUUUUGUCUGCCGGCAUGAGUUAGAAUGCAGGCAUCAAGGCAGGUUAGAUGUUCAGAGGCAUAUCAACAGAGAGAGUCGCAUCAAAAAACAAAAAAUCCUUGAUGGUACCAACAAAAUAGAUUUGUUUGUUCGAGGGCUGAAGAGAUGAAUCUGGACACUCAGGCUAGAAGGGCAGAGGUCAAAGUGGCAGCCUGGUCAGCCACAAUGUUCCUAUAGCCUUUACAGACCACCUCAGCCCACUAUUUAAAGAAUGCUUUCCAGACUCUAAAAUUGCCAAGAAGUAUUGUUCUGCUAGAACAAAGACAACAGCCAUCAUCAACAAGGCAAUAAGUCCUUAUUUACUGAACACGAUAGUGAGCAACACUAGUAAUCCAGAGUAAUCCAUUCAGUCUGUCAACAGAUGGUUCCAUACAGGAAAGGCAAAGAUUAACCCUUUGACUGUCAAAAUCUGGGAGACCAAUGGGGUUGCCCAUAGAUUUUUUGGAUAUGGGAAUAACAAGUGGAGAAGACUGUGGCACUGCGGAAGCCAUAUUCAGCAAGAUGGACUCUGUGUUGAAAGGGCACAGUAUACCUUGGCAGAAUUGCAUUGCUCUUUCUGUUGACAAUGCCAGCGUCAAUAUGGGAGACAGGAACUCUAUCAAGUCGAGGGUGCUGAAAGAAAACCCUUCAGUGUUCAUCCUAGGUUGCCCAUGCCAUAUAGUGCACAACAAUGCCUCUGCUGCUGGUGCCGUGUAUGGUGAGAUCACAGGGUUCGAUGUUGAGGACCUGGCAGUAGAUGUGGGCUUUUGGUAUAAGGCUAGCACCAAGCGUAAGAACAUAUUGGAUGAAUUCUGUACGUUUUGUGACACAAGCUACAUGGAGACACUGCUGCAUGUGAGCACAAGAUGGCUUAGUUUGGAGAUGGUGGUCAAUCGGAAUCUACGUCUCUAUAAUGCACUCGUUAUUUUGAAAGCAUCCAUGAGAAGCAAGCCAGGUGUGCCCGGCUGCGUGAAUCUUUCCAGGACCCAAUGACCGAGAUCCAUCUCUUAUUCUACCAGUCUACACUGAUGACAUUCACACAUUUCAACCUGCUAUUCCAGCGGCAAGACCCUUGUGUCUAUCUACUUCAUGAACAAGUACAUACCACUUAUUGUUCAGGCCGAGGUCCUAGUAGUAGAUCCCUUUGAUACCAAUGUUAAUUAAACUCUGGGACCCUGGUCCCUA